UACGUAGGGGGCAAGCGUUGUCCGGAUUUACUGGGCGUAAAGCGCGCGUAGGCGGAACGUUAAGUCCGGUCUGAAAGCCCACGGCUCAACCGUGGAGGGUCAUUGGAAACUGGGGGACUUGAGUGCAGAAGAGGAAAGCGGAAUUCCACGUGUAGCGGUGAAAUGCGUAGAGAUGUGGAGGAACACCAGUGGCGAAGGCGGCUUUCUGGUCUGUAACUGACGCUGAGGCGCGAAAGCGUGGGGAGCAAACAGG
rnacentral:rRNA from 1 species